GAUGAACGCUAGCGGCAGGCUUAAUACAUGCAAGUUGAGGGGCAGCAUGAUAUACGCGAGUAUAUUGAUGGCGACCGGCGGACGGGUGAGUAAUAGGUAGGAGACCUACCUCAUACAGGGGGAUAGCAUAGAGAAAUCUGUGGUAAUACCCCAUGAGGUUAUAUGAAUAGAGGCAUAUAAUCAAAGCAUAAGCGAUUAUGCGGUAUGAGAGGGGCCUACUGACCAUUAGCUAGUUGGUGAGGUAAGGGCUCACCAAGGCGAAGAUGGUUAGGGGUUUUGAGAGAGAGACCCCCCACAUUGGAACUGAGAGACGGUCCAGACUCCUACGGGAGGCAGCAGUAGGGAAUAUUGGGCAAUGGGCGAAAGCCUGACCCAGCCAUGCCGCGUGAAGGAGACGGCCUUAUGGGUUGUAAACUUCUUUACUACGCGAAUAGAGGUUAGUACGAGAUACUAAUAGGAAGGUAGUGUAGUAAAAGCACGGCUAACUCCGUG
rnacentral:rRNA from 1 species